GACGAACGCUGGCGGCGUGCUUAACACAUGCAAGUCGAACGGAGCGAAUGAAAGCUUGCUUUUAUAAGCUUAGUGGCAAACGGGUGAGUAACACGUAGACAACCUGCCGAUCAGAUGGGGACAACAUUCCGAAAGGAAUGCUAAUACCGAAUGGUGUGCGGGGGAGGCAUCUCCCCCGCAUGAAAGAUGGCCAAUACAUGUAAGCUAUCACUGGUCGAUGGGUCUGCGUCUGAUUAGCUGGUAGGUAAGGUAACGGCUUACCUAGGCGACGAUCAGUAGCCGGUCUGAGAGGAUGAACGGCCACAUUGGGACUGAGACACGGCCCAGACUCCUACGGGAGGCAGCAGUGGGGAAUCUUCCGCAAUGGGCGCAAGCCUGACGGAGCAACGCCGCGUGAGUGAAGAAGGUCUUCGGAUCGUAAAGCUCUGUUGAAGGGGACGAACGUGUAUAGUGCAAAUAGUGCUAUA
rnacentral:rRNA from 1 species